ensembl:snoRNA
GCAUGGCUAUGGAUUUAUGGUGGGAUCUGUCCUGUGAUCCCCUCAUAGUGUACUCCAUGCUAAAACAAACUGCUGCCCCAAACCAUUGACAGGCCUGGAACCUCUGUGGGUCUUGUUCACUGAUGUGGGCUGCACACGA